GGGCACAAGUUUUUCACGGCCAUGGAAGCUACUGGGAUGUGUUUUCGAUGACUAUUGCACUGUCACAACAAAAGUACGACACAGUAGCUCAGUUUUUUUUUGUGAGCUCUCCUGCGUGUUCGAGAAAAAAAAAAAUGAGGUUGGACAUUUUCAUCAAGUGGGUCCUACGCGGAGGAGGUCCACAGAAGAGUAGCCAGAUAUUUGGUGAGCACAUCUUGUUGACUAAACGUAUUUAUAUCUUCAUGUGCAUCCAAACCGCUUAUGAAAGUGAUAUGAACGAAAUUGUAUAUAAAAGUAUUUGUGAAAGAAUGUUUUUUAUUUUGUUCACUAUA